AACCUCCGCAAUGUGAGAAAUCGCGACGGGGGGAUCCCAAGUGCCAUUCUUAACGGGAUGGCUUUUCAUUAGUGUAAAAAGCUUUUGGAAUAAGAGCUGGGCAAGACCGGUGCCAGCCGCCGCGGUAACACCGGCAGCUCUAGUGGUAACAAUUUUUAUUGGGCCUAAAGCGUCCGUAGCCGGUUUAAUAAGUCUCUGGUGAAAUCCUGUAGCUUAACUGUGGGAAUUGCUGGAGAUACUAUUAGACUUGAGACCGGGAGAGGUUAGAGGUACUCCCAGGGUAGAGGUGAAAUUCUGUAAUCCUGGGAGGACCGCCUGUUGCGAAGGCGUCUAACUGGAACGGUUCUGACGGUGAGGGACGAAAGUUAGGGGCGCGAACCGGAUUAGAUACCCGGGUAGUCCUAACUGUAAACGAUGCGGACUUGGUGUUGGGGUGGCUUUGAGCUGCUCCAGUGCCGAAGGGAAGCUGUUAAGUCCGCCGCCUGGGAAGUACGGUCGCAAGACUGAAACUUAAAGGAAUU
rnacentral:rRNA from 1 species